rnacentral:rRNA from 1 species
GGACGAACGCUGGCGGCGUGCCUAACACAUGCAAGUCGAGCGGAGUAACAAGAGGAAGUUUCGGAUGGAAUUUGUUAAUUAGCGGCGGACGGGUGAGUAACGCGUGAGCGACCAACCUUGCACAGGGGAUAACGGACCGAAAGGUUCACUAAUACCGCAUGAGACCACGGUGUUGCAUGACACAGAGGUCAAAGGAGCAAUCCGGUGCAAGACGGGCUCGCGUCCGAUUAGGUAGUUGGUGGGGUAAUGGCCCACCAAGCCUAUGAUCGGUAGCCGACCUGAGAGGGUGAUCGGCCACAUUGGAACUGAGAUACGGUCCAAACUCCUACGGGAGGCAGCAGUGGGGAAUAUUGGGGCAAUGGGGGAAACCCUGACCCAGCAACGCCGCGUGAAGGAAGAAGGUUUUCGAAUUGUAAACUUCUGUCCUUGGUGAAGAGAAGAAGACGGUAGCCAAGGAGGAAGCCCCGGCUAACUACGUGCCAGCCGCCGC